rnacentral:rRNA from 1 species
GAUUGAACGCUGGCGGCAGGCCUAACACAUGCAAGUCGAGCGGCAGCGGRAAGAAGCUUGCUUCUUUGCCGGCGAGCGGCGGACGGGUGAGUAAUGUCUGGGAAACUGCCUGAUGGAGGGGGAUAACUACUGGAAACGGUGGCUAAUACCGCAUAACGUCGCAAGACCAAAGAGGGGGACCUUCGGGCCUCUUGCCAUCAGAUGUGCCCAGAUGGGAUUAGCUAGCAGGUGAGGUAAUGGCUCACCUGGGCGACGAUCCCUAGCUGGUCUGAGAGGAUGACCAGCCACACUGGAACUGAGACACGGUCCAGACUCCUACGGGAGGCAGCAGUGGGGAAUAUUGCACAAUGGGCGCAAGCCUGAUGCAGCCAUGCCGCGUGUAUGAAGAAGGCCUUCGGGUUGUAAAGUACUUUCAGCGGGGAGGAAGGUGAGUGGCUUAAUACGCCACUCAAUUGACGUUACCCGCAGAAGAAGCACCGGCUAACUCCGU